UACGUAGGGGCCAAGCGUUGUCCGGAUUUAUUGGGCGUAAAGAGCUCGUAGGCGGUUCGACAAGUCAGCUGUGAAAUCUCCACGCUCAACGUGGAGGGGUCAGCUGAUACUGCUGUGACUCGAGUCCGGUAGGGGAGUGUGGAAUUCCUGGUGUAGCGGUGAAAUGCGCAGAUAUCAGGAAGAACACCAAUGGCGAAAGCAGCUCUCUGGGACGGUACUGACGCUGAGACGCGAAAGCGUGGGGAGCGAACAGG
rnacentral:rRNA from 1 species